UGAACGCUGGCGGCGUGCCUAAUACAUGCAAGUCGAGCGAACGGACGAGAAGCUUGCUUCUCUGAUGUUAGCGGCGGACGGGUGAGUAACACGUGGAUAACCUACCUAUAAGACUGGGAUAACUUCGGGAAACCGGAGCUAAUACCGGAUAAUAUUUUGAACCGCAUGGUUCAAAAGUAAAAGACGGUCUUGCUGUCACUUAUAGAUGGAUCCGCGCUGCAUUAGCUAGUUGGUAAGGUAACGGCUUACCAAGGCAACGAUGCAUAGCCGACCUGAGAGGGUGAUCGGCCACACUGGAACUGAGACACGGUCCAGACUCCUACGGGAGGCAGCAGUAGGGAAUCUUCCGCAAUGGGC
rnacentral:rRNA from 1 species